GCUAAAAAUAAAACCCACAAACAACCAAUGAGCAAAUUCAACUUACUUUUUAAACCAAAACAUUUUAUAAAUUUAGUAAAGGCGAUAGAAAAAUUAACAGGAGUAAUAGAGUACCGCAAGGGAAAAAUGAAAUAGAAAUGAAAUAGAAAUUUAAGCACAAAACAGUAGAGAUCCCCACUCGUACCUUUUGCAUCAUGGUUUAACAAGUCUAAUCAAGCACAACGAUUUACAGUUUGACCCCCCGAAACUAAGUGAGCUACUUCAGGGCAGCUUAUUGAGCAAAUCCGUCUCUGUUGCAAAAGAGUGGAAAGACCCUCAAGUAGAGGUGAUAAGCCUAACGAACUUAGUGAUAGCUGGUUAUUCAAAAAAAGGAUUUUAGUCCAGCCUAAAGUUUUGUCAAUUCUACAAAAUAAUUUUAUAACUUUAGAGUAACUCAAAUAAGGUACAGCCUAUUUGAAAAAGGAUACAACCUUAAACAAUGGGUAACAUUUUAUCUAUACAAUUAAGUGGGCCUAAAAGCAGCCACCUUUAAGACAGCCUUAAAGCUCUAAUGUAAAUUUAACUUAAUCUCACAAAACAAUCUUAACCCUUCAAUAUUAUUGAAUAAUUCUAUAUGAGUAUGGAACCUAUAAUGUUAAAACUAGUAACAAGAAGAAGACCUUCUCUUAAAUGCAAAUGUAAAUCAGCAAGAACUAAUCACUGAUGAUUAACACCAAUGAAACUAUAUUAGAAACUCAACAAGAAAAGCCUAAUAACCCCUAUGUUAACCUAACACAAGAGCAUCAAAAGAAAGAUUUAAAGAAAAAGAAGGAACUCGGCAAAUAAUAACCCCGCCUGUUUACCAAAAACACCGCCUUUUGAACAACUAUAAAAGGUCCAGCCUGCCCAGUGAUUUUUCAACGGCCGCGGUAUCUUGACCGCGCGAAGGUAGCAUAAUCAAUUGUUCUUUAAAUGAGGACUUGUAUGAAUGGCAUCACGAAGGUUAUACUGUCUCCUUUUUCUAAUCAGUGAAACUAAUCCCCCCGUGAAGAAGCGGGGAUAAAAGUAUAAGACGAGAAGACCCUAUGGAGCUUUAAACUAAGUAACAAGUGUUUUUAUGUCCCUUCUUAAAAACCCCCUAUUUUAACACUCUGAUUACUAGUUUUAGGUUGGGGUGACCGCGGAGCAAAAAUUAACCUCCACAUUGAACGGACCUACUCCUGAACCAAGAGCCACAACUCUAAUCACCAAUAAUUUGACAUUAAUUGACCCAAUAUUUUGAUCAACGAACCAAGUUACCCUAGGGAUAACAGCGCAAUCCACUUCAAGAGACCCUAUCAAAAAGUGGGCUUACGACCUCGAUGUUGGAUCAGGGUACCCCAGUGGUGCAGCCGCUACUAAAGGUUCGUUUGUUC
rnacentral:rRNA from 1 species